GACAGAGGUGCCGAGCGUUAGGCGGAAUCACUGGGCUUAAAGCGUGUGUAGGCGGGUCCGUAAGUGCCUUGUGAAAUCCCAUGGCUCAACCAUGGAACUGCUUGGUAUACUGCGGAUCUUGAGCCACCUAGGGGCAAGUGGAACAAACGGUGGAGCGGUGAAAUGCGUAGAUAUCGUUUGGAACGCCAAUGGUGAAAACAACUUGCUGGGGGUGUGCUGACGCUGAGACACGAAAGCCAGGGGAGCAAACGGG
rnacentral:rRNA from 1 species